CAUGUGUUUGAUGAUCUCAGAGGCUCAGUAUCCUUGUCCUGGGUUGGAGAUAGCACUGGGGUCAUUCUAGUCUUGACUACCUUCCAUGUACCACUGGUAAUUAUGACUUUUGGACAGUCCAAGCUAUAUCGAAGGUGAGAUCAAUAACACGCGUUGGAGCAUUUCACUAAGUAACAUUGAGAAUAUAGAUUCUCCCUUUUCUAGACAUGAUGGCACGUAACAGUUGAUGUAAAAGAUCUUCUAGCCAUCCUAAGUUUUCACCAGACUGUCACACUCAGCACAUGUUUUUGUUGUUGUUGUUGUUGUUGUUUUUUGAGACAGGGUCUCACUCUUGUCACCCAGGCUGGAGUGCAGUGGCGUCAUCUUGGCUCACUGCAGCCUCCACCUCCCAGGCUCAAGCCAUCCUCCCACUUCAGCCUCCCAGGUAGCUGGGACUGCAGGCACACGCUACCAUGCCCAGCUAAUUUUUUGUAUUUUUUGUAGAGACAGGGUUUCCCCAUGUUGCCUAGGCUUGUAUUGAGCUCCUGGGUUCGAAUGAUCCACCUGCCUCCAAAAGUGCUGGGAUUAUAGGCGGGAGCCACUGCACCCGGCCCUUAGCACACUUUUUAACGUCUACUCUUUUUUUUUUUUUGAGCAGGGUCUAGCUCUGUCACUCAGGCUGGAGAGCAGUGGCGCAAACACAGCUCAUUGCAACCUCUCCCUCCCAGGCUCAAGCCAUCCACCAUCUUCCCACCUCAGCCUCCCAAGUGGCUGGCAUUA
rnacentral:lncRNA from 1 species